UCGAGCGGCAGCACAGGUACUUGUACCGGGUGGCGAGCGGCGGACGGGUGAGUAAUGCCUAGGAAUCUGCCUGGUAGUGGGGGAUAACGCUCGGAAACGGACGCUAAUACCGCAUACGUCCUACGGGAGAAAGCAGGGGACCUUCGGGCCUUGCGCUAUCAGAUGAGCCUAGGUCGGAUUAGCUAGUUGGUGAGGUAAAGGCUCACCAAGGCGACGAUCCGUAACUGGUCUGAGAGGAUGAUCAGUCACACUGGAACUGAGACACGGUCCAGACUCCUACGGGAGGCAGCAGUGGGGAAUAUUGGACAAUGGGCGAAAGCCUGAUCCAGCCAUGCCGCGUGUGUGAAGAAGGUCUUCGGAUUGUAAAGCACUUUAAGUUGGGAGGAAGGGUCGUUACCUAAUACGUGACGAUUUUGACGUUACCGACAGAAUAAGCACCGGCUAACUCUGUGCCAGCAGCCGCGGUAAUACAGAGGGUGCAAGCGUUAAUCGGAAUUACUGGGCGUAAAGCGCGCGUAGGUGGUUCGUUAAGUUGGAUGUGAAAUCCCCGGGCUCAACCUGGGAACUGCAUCCAAAACUGGCGAGCUAGAGUAGGGCAGAGGGUGGUGGAAUUUCCUGUGU
rnacentral:rRNA from 1 species